GUUCUAGCGCUCUACGGUAUCUAUUGAACAUAAUACAAUUAUCUUCUCUCCUGCAUCUAGAAUGGUAUUAGCCAUGCACUCUCCUUGGGGGAAUUGAGAAAAUACUUACUAAAAUUAGCUCCUAAAGGGACUGUUUAUCUCUCUGAACUGAUUGAGAAAGGCUGCAAGCAUGAUAACUGUGGUGCAUGCAACUGAGGAGACCCUUAAGGGAGUGUAAAAAUUGUAGCAAAAAAUGCCUAGAUACCCUAUCCCAGGAAGGUGAAGACAGGGAAGGUGUUCUCUGGCAGGUAUGAGGUGAAAAGGCAGGAGUCCUGGCUCCUGGAGAACAUGAUUGUGACAGUCCUAUAGGUGUCUUGACACUGUGGAGAGUAGCAGCUUCUGAUAGAGGAAAAACAGAAACAGAAAAUGGAAAUUCUUUUGGCACCUCUGUUUAUGCUUGUCCUACUUGUUGUUUGAAUGCCUUAUAAAUAUAUGAAAAUAUACUGAACCCAAAAUUGUGACAUGCUGACCUGAUGUCCUGCAUCCUUUAAAUAGAAGUACAUAGAUCAUGGUCAGGAUUACAACGUGGAGAGGUGAGUAUGAUCAGACAGGUGGCCCAAGUUCAUUAACUGUCUACCUCCAACAUUUCCUUAGCUCCAGAUACUCAAUUUGACCAUCCAUAAAAAGAGAUGGUACUAUUUACCUUUUAAGGUUGUGGGGAGAUUCUAAUGAGAUAGAAGAGAGAGCCUAAGACAAUAUCUGGUAUAUAAUAAGUGCUCACAAAAUCACAGGGAUUAUUACUUCUCUUGGUGUUAAUUGCUUCAUAAUAAGACAGGCAUACGCAUUCUCUUAAGAAAUGAAAAAAUAAGAAACUAAAAUUGUUUUAUCCUGUCCCCCUUUCCAGCCUUGGGAGGACUACUCAGAUGAUAGGAACCAGUGGUUGAAAAAGAAAGAGAAACAAGAUGAAAGGAUUCGUGACUUUUCUGGGAAGUAUAAAAAGCUAUUUUGUGCCUCUUCUUUAUUUAGUUGCCAAUAGAUUGUUUUAUUUAUCUAUCUUGUUGUGUGAUAAAAUGCGAUAUGGGAGUAAUUGUUUUUCUUGUGUGUGCAUGCAUGUACGUAUUUCUAUUUUGAUGAAGUGCUGACCCUGCUGAUUCAGAAUACCUUUAAGUUUUACAAAGAUUUUGUUUUCUCCUGGCUUCCUCUUGCAUACACAAAGGCAGUAAUAGAGUGUCAUUUAAAUAAUAUGCCUUGGUUAGAACACAGCAAACUAGUUAAGAGAAACAUUUUAGAGGUUGACCUAAAAUACAUUAACUUUGAAAUAAAUAUACAUCUGGUAUAAAGAAUGAAUUUUACCAAAUAUGCAUAUCAGUUAUACCAACAGAUACCAUUUUGGGAAGAUACGUAUUCUGGUUUUAAAAAUAUUUUAGUUUGAGUUCAGUUGUAUUAUAGCUUACAUAAUACUAAUUAGAUGCUGGCUCAGAACUAUGUGUUAGUCAAAAAUUUUGGCUAGGUUCUCAUGAAAUAUCUGAAAGGCUAAAGAACAAUGUAAUUAUGCAUACAUUUAAAAUUUUGAAAGAAACAUCCCAUGUGCUACCUGACAGUGAAAUUGUCCCUGAUGAUAAGGAGAAAGGAUAAGAAGAUGCUGGGGACUGCCCGGUUCAGAGUGGACAUACUCAGGCCUAAUUCCUUAAAUAUUCAACUGAACUAGAUGAUGCUCUAUGAUCUAUAAGCUCUCUGUGCCUUGGUUUCUAAUAGAACAAAAUGUAGGGAGCAUCAAUCUCAUAAAUAUUUCUUUUCUUUCUUCUUUUUUUUUUAUAAACUGAAUGGAGAUUCCUGUGCAGUAGACUAUAUCAUAAAUGCUGGCAUUAGAAGAUUAGAAAAACUCCUGUCUUAUAAACUAUUUUAUAUUGGGUAUUUACUAUUUAUAGCUAACGGAUUUCUAAAUAUAUGAUUUGACCUGCUACAUUUAAACUAAGUAAUAAAAUACGUGUCAAAUAAUCCAAGUUAAUAUCCAAAGUCAUGACAUUAUCAAAGUUACAGUUUUUUCUUAAUCUGUCAAGAAUUUCAGUGCUAAAUUGACCUUAAUUUUUUAAAAAAAUAAUAUUUAGGUAACUUUCUGAUUACUCAAAAUAGUUCAGAACUGUAACUCAUGCUCCUGUGUGUGUGUGAUUUUUCUGCCUGUGCACUCUAUAACUGUGACUUGCUCAAGGGUGCUAAGAAGAGAGAAGCUGAUGUGGCUGAUGUUGGAAGGUGAUGAAUUCAUCCAUGGUAAAAGAAAUAUCCCUUAAGGCAGGGGUCUCCAACCCCUGGACCAUGGACAGAUCAGUGGCAGCAUCAGAUUCUCACAGGAGCAUGAACCCCACGGUGAACUCCACAUGCAAGGGAUGUAGUUGCGUGCUCCCUAUGAGAACCUAAUGCUUGAUGAUCCGAGGUAGAACAGUUUCAUCCCAAAACCAUUCCCCUGCCUCCGUAGAAAUAUUGUCUUCCACGAAACUAGGCCCUGGUGCCAAAAAGGUUGGGGCCUGCUGCCUUAGGGCAUGUCCUGUUACCAGCUUCCAGUUGCCCUUGAAGUGGUCUUCAUUAUCCUGGCUUUCUCUCCUCAGCCUCUUCUUCCUGCUGGACUUCCUACGGGCCUAUCCCUCACUGGCUCUGGGUCCUGGGCCUCUACCCAGGCCUGAGUCCAUGUGCUCAGAAAAGGUGUGGUUUCAUCCUUCUGGAGUACUGGUGUUCAUGUGACUGUCCUUUGAAAGAACAGGGCAAGAGUCAUCUGUUUUCUAUUAAACUUUAAUGACAUUUGAUACACACAAGACACUGAGAGAGGGGCAGAGAAAACUGGAUGUGCAGAUAAAAUGGAGACCAAAGUAGUACAUCAGGAGAGAUGUGAAGAUAUCCCAGGUAAGUCUGAUUCUACUAUCAUUUUAUUUAGAUAUAUGGUAAGAUCUAUUGCAAGGCAAUUUCUUCUCUUUUACCUAGUUCUUUGAAAAACCUUUGUAAAAAUGAGACUGUGUCUGAUAGUCCUGUUGACUUUUUACACAUCAAGGCUUAAAUUAUAAUGACUAAUUUUCUUGUCAUCUUCAACAAACUCACCAUUAACUGAGAGUCCAUAGGGUAAACACCGGUGAGUUUUAUCUACUUUUCAUCAGUGUUGACACAUGGUAAUAAAAUCAUUUGUUGAAAAAAUUUAUGAAUGAAUGAAUAAAGCACAAUCUGAAAGUGCUCACCUGUUCCAAAAGCAUUCAUUGAAACAAUGCUUUCAUUCACUGGUAAAAAGUAGCAAUGGGACUAUUUCUCAUGGAUACAUUUAUAUUGAAUAGUGCUCAUAAACUAUAUAUAAUAUUUAUGAUAUAUGUGUACAUGCAUUUACAUCAGAUUAUGUAAACAAAUGAGAACCAAAAGAAAAUUUAAAUAUGUGCAAAUAUUUACCAAACACCAAAACCAUCAAAGCAGAGGCAACUCCAAUUCUAAAGAAGACAUAUGCACAAUCAAAUAUGUCACUUAAAAAUGUAAGAAAAAGACAAUCUCUUUUCCAUUCUCAGAGCUUGAUUUAAUAUCAAGGCAGAGCUCAGCAGUUUGGCCUUUUCUUCAGAGUUGGAAUGUGCUUUCCAAACCUUUUUUAUUUUAAUGUGACUCUGGCUGAUAGUCCCUGAAAUUCUAACAUUCGAGCCCUAUAAGCAUUAUUUUACUCUCGUGGCCCACUGAGCAACCUCAGAAAAAAUAAUUUUUGGCAACUGAUCUUUACAGAAAAUGAAGUGAUUGCCAUUUUUUUCAUUUCUCUCUGGAUUUCUCAAACAAGCCUGCCAAUAUUGAGUGAAAGCACUUUGGAAAGUAGUAACUUGGAUAUCAGAAUAAAUAAAUAUUAUGGAUUCUCCCCUGCAAGUUUUACCCAGUAUCCCUGAAAGAAAAAGCUUCCUCUCACCUGUUUUGACUGUACGUGUGGCUGUGCUCUCUGGCUUCAGAAUUGCUUCUAUAGGAAGAAAUUAAUCAUCGAUUAUUCUACUAAAAUAGAUGUAACAUUCACUGUGAUCCGUUAUGUGAGCAACAAUGUGGAGUACUGGUAUAGAGUUUCGGGAGACCUGGGUGUUAAUUCUAGCUUAGUCACAUGCUACAUGUGUGAACUUGGGCAAGUUACUUGAUCCUGAAGCCUCACUUUUCUCCUUUGAAAAUGGGAAUAAUACUACCACCUACCUCCUGGAAUUGUAGUGGUGAAGAUUAAAUCAGGUAAUGUGCCAAGCACUCAGACAGCACUCAAUAAAUGUUAGUUAUUCUCCUUCAUGGUGAAGAGGGUAAGACUGGAUAAUUACAAUCAAAGUAAUUCAAGGGGCACGCAUUGCUGAAUGGGAAUGUCUUCACACUUUAUGAACAAUGAAUUUAUAUACAUAAGUAGAGACAUGGCCAAGGUUAAAGGUGAACAAAACUGACCUCUACCUUCCCCUUGUAUCAUACAACCCCCUGCCCCCCAUUUCUUUCCUGCCAGUUUGAAUCUCAGUGGUCUCAAUUUGCUUUCCUCCAAAAUAGUUCAAAACAAACAAAACAAAAAUAGAAUAAAGAUGGAUUGAGAAAAAGAGACGAACUUUGGCCCCAAUCCCUUGGUGAUGCCAGGUCCAAUAUAAUUACAUUCUACAAAUUCAAUGUAGUUUUUACCCUUUAAUUUAAAAUAAAGUUAUUAUAUGAAGACAUGUCUAUUUAUACUGAAAUGUUUAUAGCCAGU
rnacentral:lncRNA from 1 species